rnacentral:rRNA from 1 species
AGGACGAACGCUGGCGGCGUGCUUAACACAUGCAAGUCGAGCGGAAAGGCCCUUCGGGGUACUCGAGCGGCGAACGGGUGAGUAACACGUGAGUAAUCUGCCCCUAGCUCUGGGAUAGCUCCGGGAAACCGGGAUUAAUACCAGAUACGACCACUUUAGACAUCUUCUGUGGUGGAAAGAACUUCGGCUAGGGAUGAACUCGCGGCCUAUCAGCUUGUUGGUGAGGUAACGGCUCACCAAGGCGACGACGGGUAGCCGGCCUGAGAGGGCGACCGGCCACACUGGGGACUGAGACACGGCCCCAGACUCCUACGGGAGGCAGCAGUGGGGAAUAUUGCGCAAUGGGCGAAAGCCUGACGCAGCGACGCCGCGUGGGGGAUGAAGGCCUCGGUUGUAACCCCUUUCAGCAGGGACGAGCGAAAGUGACGGUACCUGCAGAAGAGCGCCGGCUAACUACGUGCCAGCAGCCGC